rnacentral:lncRNA from 1 species
GUGUGAUUUCAUUAUGAAGUCAGAUGGAAUGAGGAGUGUGUAAAUCCAGAAUCAGAAUCCCAGCGACGAAGCUUUUCUUGCUCUGUUACCUUGGAAAAUGCUUUGAACCAGACCAGAUAAGAAAAGUAAAAGUCUGGAGUGUAAUCCUUCCAAUUGUCUUUUGGCUUCUCUUCUACUUCUACAAAAAGUUCAACAAAAAUUAGAAUUUGAAACAACGGAAAGAGAGAAAUUUUAGGUUAGUAGCUAAAUCCCCAAGGAUACUAAUUAGAGAAAGAUGUUGGAAUUGCCUUAAUGAGUCACUGCCAACGCAAGUCCUAAGGAAGCAAAGACUGUGAGUAAGCAAAGGUAGCCAGCUGCUGGGAAGAGGACAAUAGAGGAAAAGGUCAGAGGGACUUUAAAAGACUGACUGUGGGCUCCCUGAGGGAAGGAGGGAUGGAGAGAGUAUCGGGUCCUAUAGAAUACCUUAAUUGUUUUUAUGACUUCUCUUUUCCAUAUCCAGUUCACAUGUACUCCUUUCUGUGCAUUAAAUUGAGUUUCUAUUGGCUUCUUUGUAACAAAAAGAACUGAACAGAAACACAUAUCUAUUGGACAAAG